GACGAACGCUGGCGGCGUGCUUAACACAUGCAAGUCGAACGGAAAGGCCCUGCUUUUGUGGGGUGCUCGAGUGGCGAACGGGUGAGUAACACGUGAGUAACCUGCCCUUGACUUUGGGAUAACUUCAGGAAACUGGGGCUAAUACCGGAUAGGAGCUCCUGCUGCAUGGUGGGGGUUGGAAAGUUUCGGCGGUUGGGGAUGGACUCGCGGCUUAUCAGCUUGUUGGUGGGGGAGUGGCUUACCAAGGCUUUGACGGGUAGCCGGCCUGGGAGGGUGACCGGCCACAUUGGGACUGAGAUACGGCCCAGUCUCCUACGGGAGGCAGCAGUGGGGAAUAUUGCACAAUGGGCGGAAGCCUGAUGCAGCAACGCCGCGUGCGGGAUGACGGCCUUCGGGUUGUAAACCGCUUUCGCCUGUGACGAAGCGUGAGUGACGGUAAUGGGUAAAGAAGCACCGGCUAACUACGUG
rnacentral:rRNA from 1 species